AAUAGUUUUAUUCCACAUCAAUAUUUUCAUCCUGAACUUCAACAUUUUCAUCCUGGACAAAAUCAAAUCCAAAUUGAAAUUCUGAAAUUCAGGAUAAAAUUACUGAUGUUGCAUAAAACUAUU
rfam:Gossypium raimondii Chr06_contig_1249, whole genome shotgun sequence.